UACGUAGGGGGCAAGCGUUGUCCGGAUUUAUUGGGCGUAAAGAGCGUGUAGGCGGCUUUACAGGUCCGUUGUGAAAACUCGAGGCUCAACCUCGAGACGCCGGUGGAAACCGUAAGGCUAGAGUCCGGAAGAGGAGAGUGGAAUUCCUGGUGUAGCGGUGAAAUGCGCAGAUAUCAGGAAGAACACCCGUGGCGAAGGCGGCUCACUGGACCACAACUGACGCUGAGGCGCGAAAGCUAGGGGAGCAAACAGG
rnacentral:rRNA from 1 species